rnacentral:rRNA from 1 species
UAUUAAAGUUGUUGCGGUUAAAAAGCUCGUAGUUGGAUUUCUGUUGAGGGCAGCCGGUCCGCACCCGGUGCGUGUAUCUGGUUUGACCUCGGCAUCCUCUCAAAAUACGUUUCUGCGCUUGAUUGCGUGGAGUGGAGUUUGGGACUUUUACUUUGAGGAAAUUAGAGUGUUCACGGCAGGCAUACGCCCUGAAUAUAUUAGCAUGGAAUAAUAAUAUAGGAUCUUGGUUCUAUUUUGUUGGUUUCUAGAGCUAAGAUAAUGAUUAAUAGGGACAAUUGGGGGCAUUCGUAUUAACGCGUCAGAGGUGGAAUUCUUGAAUUGCGUUACGACGAACUACUGCGAAAGCAUUUGCCAAGGAUGUUUUCAUUGAUCAAGAACGAAAGUAAAGGGAUCGAAGACGAUUAGAUACCGUCGUAGUCUUUACCAUAAACUAUGCCAACUAGAGAUGGGGUGUCGUUCCUUUCUGACUCACUCCGCACCUUAUGAGAAAUCAAAGUCUUUGGGUUCCGGGGGGAGUAUGGUCGCAAGGCUGAAACUUAAAGGAAUUG